UCUCAGCCUUUUGGUCACCACACCACCUUCCACAUCUCCACCUUGGCUGGUCCUCUCAGGUGAUUGUUGGCCGUCUCUUCUGUUUCUGGGAUUCAGGAAUCAUCGAAGAAGAAUGGAGAUUUCAUGGGUAUUGUUGUGGUAUUUUAUGGGGAAAAUUUUGUUGGUGGAGCAUGUGUUACUUGAGAUAUUGAUGAACUUUAUGACGAUGAUCUACAAGAAGCUAAGGAGUCUCACCAUUUAUUUGAUAAAGCUUUACAAAUCUCAAACUCUUCUCUGUGCCAGCACCCACAGCUUUAGCUUACUUGACUUCCAA